AAAGAGGGGGAUAACACUUGGAAACAGGUGCUAAUACCGCAUAACCAUAGUUACCGCAUGGUAACUAUGUAAAAGGUGGCUAUGCUACCGCUUUUGGAUGGGCCCGCGGCGCAUUAGCUAGUUGGUGGGGUAAAGGCUCACCAAGGCGAUGAUGCGUAGCCGAACUGAGAGGUUGAUCGGCCACAUUGGGACUGAGACACGGCCCAAACUCCUACGGGAGGCAGCAGUAGGGAAUCUUUCACAAUGGGCGAAAGCCUGAUGGAGCAACGCCGCGUGGGUGAAGAAGGUCUUCGGAUCGUAAAACCCUGUUGUUAGAGAAGAAAGUGCGUGANAGUAACUGUUCACGUUUCGACGGUAUCUAACCAGAAAGCCACGGCUAACUACGUGCCANCAGCCGCGGUAAUACGUANGUGGCAAGCGUUGUCCGGAUUUAUUGGGCGUAAAGGGAACGCAGGCGGUCUUUUAAGUCUGAUG
rnacentral:rRNA from 1 species